rnacentral:lncRNA from 1 species
AUGGGCAUGUGAAGUGUGUUAGUGACUGUUAUGCAAGCAAUGGGAAGCACCUCCCUUUAAUCCCUUGUCCAGAUUAAAAUGCAGUGAAUGCGGAAAUAUUUGCAGGUCCUUUUUUUCUGCGUCUUAUAAAUAUACUCAGGAAGCCAUCUGGGAACAGAAAUACUCCCUAAGUACCGCUGACCUGAAAUGCAAGUGUCUUUGUGAAGUCAGUUUCUCUCCUUCCUUUGAAAGACAAUCUUGCUGAUGCUGACUGCUAAAAAUAAGGAUGCAAAAUCUUUUCCAGCAUCUGGAGUUUUCUGUGCUUUAAUCUGUUCAUUUCCUUAUGUAUUGUUAUAUAGGUAUUUCUGUGCACACUCUGAUUAAUGUACAAAUAUAUAUUUUACUCUGUAGGAUUAGAGUCAAGUGGGCCUGAUUCUUCACUUCCUUGCAACUUGCAUCUUUAGCUAUAAGUUGUGUGUUGUCCUCGGUUGCUACAGCCAAGUUACCUCAAUGAAGUUGUGUCAAUGGCAAACACUGCAAUAGUAAGUCCUCUCAUAUAAUCCUGUAUUAGGGUUUAAAUAUGUAUAAUCUGCAUAUUUCUCUCUGCAUAUAACUCUCCCAUUUGCAUAUUAGGUUGGCAGUAAUCAUCCUUGGAAGAGUCAAACAUUAAAAAAUAUUUGACAUCAUUUCUUCAGCAGCAAUGAGCCUUGGUUUGUCAUGGGAACAAUCUUCAUGAUCAUCCUGAGUAUGGCAGGAACCUGGUACCAGCGUACUGAUUCAGCUACAUUUUCAAAAGUGUGAACCAGCUCAGGAAGACUUUCAGGAUUUCAGUUUUUCACAGAAAAGAAACCAGGACAAGGAUGAAGCCCAUCCCAGACAAGUCAGAGGAGACCAGCUCUGAGCUUGGGAGGUUGCACAGCAGCAGGCUAUUCUCUAACAUGCAGGCAGGCCCCAGACUGAGAUCAGCCAUGCACAUAUUAAGAAAUAAUGUCAAGGUAUUUAUAGUCCUGCUCUAAAUGAAAUAUUUAGGGUUUUGUCUUGGCUUUACUCUUUACUCUUACUACUUAUUUUACAAUCUGUUGUUGUGCCAUAUCUAUUGUGAGCAAAGAGUAUCCUUCUGAUGAUCUAUUGCUAAUAGCUAUGCAUUAAUGAUAAUCAACUAAUAGCUGAAAUUGUAGUUUUUAUCUGUAAAUAUUCAUGCAUCAGCAGGAUAGAAAAUAAUUUAAUAAUUAAUAUGUGAAUGUUUCAAGCAAAGGUAAAUAAUCAUA